UACGAGGGGGGCAAGCGUUGUCCGGAAUCAUUGGGCGUAAAGCGCGCGUAGGUGGCCUCGUAAGUCCGCUGUGAAAGUCAAAGGCUCAACCUUUGAAAGCCGGUGGAUACUGUGGGGCUAGAGUACGGAAGAGGCGAGUGGAGUUCCUGGUGUAGCGGUGGAAUGCGCAGAUAUCAGGAGGAACACCAAUAGCGAAGGCAGCUCGCUGGGACGUUACUGACACUGAGGCGCGAAAGCGUGGGGAGCGAACAGG
rnacentral:rRNA from 1 species